CUCCCCCUCCUCUUUAUCUUCUUUUUCUUCUUUUCCCUUCACCCUUCUCGUUUCUUUUUCUUGUCUUCUAUUCAUUACACUCAAGCGAUUUGUAUUGCGAAUGAGGGAAAGAGGGCCUUAAGCUGCUCAUAGAUCAUUUUGUAUACGAAGUAUAAUGAUAACGAGGGAAAUAACAGCGUAGAACAGGCAACGCAGGAUGUUCCACAGCCGUGUACGUUUGUACGGCGCAUUUGUAUACUCUGCUAGACAUAAAAGGUAUUCUCGGAAGGGCAAUCCAUCAGCGCUUGCUGGAGGCUAUAUGCAAGCCUUCCCAGGAGCUAUGUCUUCUUUCAAAAGACUACGCCAGGCCAUUAUCUUCCCAGAAGUGUCAUUUUUUCCAUCGGACAAAGCCUACGAUGUGACUGAAAGCUUAUGGCCAUUGUCUUGAAGAGAGCAUCGUAGUUUUAACCAAGAGGACUGACUGUGUGUUUGCCUACAACAGUUGUAUGUUGUUUAGACGAGAACAAAUGUGUGGCAGAGACGGGAUUCUGACCUCUGGACUCUGCGAUGUGUUUGCUUCAUCGCCAAAGAAUGAUAAAAUGUAAACUGAAGGAAACAUAAAAGGCCCACCGAAGGAGACCGCGAGCGUCGUCGUCCUACAGCAGAGUCGCCGGGAUGCAGCUCGUAUCACCCUCAGGCCCGCGGCGUAGUCCCUUCGGCGCCACCUCGGGCCAGGGCCACGGCUGCCCACGUGCCAUUCUGUAGCUUGCGCCCGACCUGAGGCGGCCCAGAGCCUAGGAGAUUAUAAAGAUAAAAUAGAUAAAUAAAUAAUAA